GAGAAAGGUGUAUUCCUAUUUUGGUGAGCUCACAGGAACAGGAAGUGAGGUGUUGCCGAAGCGAAGUUUAGCGAACAGUUUUUUUUUAACAUCGCCGUCCUUGCUUGUGGAUGUACCGCGCUACCGCGCUUGUGUUUGAAAGUUUACCGCACUGCCGAUUGCAUCGGACCGCUACAAUAUGAAUGUACAGCCUGGAUUUCAGCUGCAACUCUCUGCGGUGAGCACUUUGAUCGCCGAUGGUUUCAAAAUCAACAUCCUGUAGGCGGAGCUCAGGCUGCUGGGUGGCUCAUCCCGUUAAGGCACCACGUGCGGAGGAGCCCCCCCCUGCGGUCUCGGCUUGAAUCCGGACCGCGUCAGGGCCGACUGCGGCCAGAAGUUCCACAGAGCGAAACCUCCUGUAGGUAUUGCGUUCUGCACAAAAGUUGCCACGCCGACAACUGCAACAAAGGGGAGUAAAGUUUACGUUGUUGGUCGAGACGCCACAGAAAUACACACCGUAGCAUAGAGAACAUCCUACCCGUCCAGCGCUCCUCACUGCCGAGGCUUCUCCCCACUGCUCCUUCUGAUCUCUGCAUGGAGGAAGGAGCUCGAUCUAAUCUUCCAAGCCUUCACUGCGCUUCCAGAGGUGGGGGCAGAGGGGGUCAUCAAGUCCUUCGAUCAGGAUUAUUUAUGGCUUCACCACCGGGGGAGCUCAUCAGCACAUCUCCCCCCCCCCCCCCCCAUCCCUCACCCCCCCCACCCAGAGCAGCUGUACAAAGGACUCAGAUCUCGGGAACCUUCAGGAUGCGUAAUGACCUGAGAUUCGGCUGGGAGUGCGGAUGUCAGUGUGGUCUGUCGGCGGUGGUUUAAUCCUCUCUUACAGCAGUCUCAUGCCGGCUGUCUCACGCAGUCCUGUCCCGCUGAUUUAGUGCCGGGCGCGGAAUCGCCAAAGGCCGCCAAGCCUCGCUGAUCCACUCAAUCUCUGCCUCUGCACAAAGAGCAGCACAAAGAGCUACAAAGAGCAGCACAAAGAGCUACAAAGAGCAGCACAAACAGCAGCACAAAGAGCUACAAAGAGCAGCACAAAGAGCAGCAUCCUCUGCGUAUUUUCCCUUUGAGAACGCAAAUACACCGCACGCAAUGUACAGCUAGCGACAUUCAGCACCAUGAAAUAGAGGUGUUUAUCAUUCAGGCGUUAUUACAUUGACGUGUCACUUCGCCUUAAAAUGUUUUGUUUGAUAUUUAAUCCGUCUGCCCACUGAUAAUAAUAAGAAAACACCCCACUUCUACUGUGUUUGAGCUUCUGUUGCUUUCUUUCAGAAACAUUUUGACUCUUGGAAAACAGAUUCCCAGGGGUUACCUUUCAGAAGAAACCAGAAUUACGCCUCCAGUGCAGUCAGAAGGGACAAGAAUAGUAACAAUUUUAUUUUUGACAUGUCAUUUUCAGACCUUGUUUUUAGAAAGAUGACAAAACAGAAGGGGUUAAACUAGUCUUUUACUCAAUUUUACUGAUGCAUGUAUGUAUGUUGAGGAGAUUAGGUAAAUAACUAGCAGUUUUUGUAUUUGGCUCAAUUCUGAAAAUAUUACUAGAGAUAGAAUAAUCAGUUUUAAAUACAUUUAAUACAUUUUUAUCUACAUCCCUUGACUAUGAUUACAUACCAUAAUGAAAUUUCUGGCACAUACAAUUCACUAGCAAUUUAGCGGACAGUACUCGGAGCCUAUCCAAAACUAACUAAUCUGGCUAGUUUUCAAAUGGGCACAACUCUUCCUGUGCAAGCCUAAGAAUGGGAAUCUGAAACCCUUUAUCCAGCAUAUUUGUUGUAUUCGAUUCUCUCUCUCAGUUUGCCAAAGGUUUGUGUGGAAGGUUAAAAACUGACAUCUUAGAAAAUGCUUCCUGAGGUUUGAUUAAGAUGACACACGUAUUAUCAAGAAAUUUGAUAUGCAUGUUAACAACAAGAAAUAUAGUAUGCUACAUGUAUUGUUUUGUGAACCUGCUUCAGAAUUCAGUAGCUGAUCCUCUGAUUCAUAGGUCCAAACAACAAGGCGUGCGCACGGUUAUUGUCUUGUUCUCAGAAAGGCAGAACUGUACACAGCUCUGUCCACAAGGGGUUAAAUUCUCGGAAGCGGUCGGUUGCCUUGGUGUUGCCAGACAGUUUGUUCCCACUGGAACCAGGGGGUUACCUUGGUUUACACCAGCAGAGAGAGAUGAUUUAGCCUCAGCUUUCUCUCCAGAUGAAAUUUGACGUAUUAAAAAAUAAAAAAAAGCCCCCUCCAAAUCGCAUUGGAUCUGUGGGACUGACCGCAUGCAGCAGAUCUCUGUGAUCAGUUUAUACCUGCCCGGCGCACGGGGGGAUUUGGAAAGCUCUGGCCGUGUCUGCUCAGCCCAGGGGCCCAGAGGAAUGGCAGUGCUGGUUUUAUGCAGUUCUUGGAGAUAAUCACACAUGAAAAGGAUCACCUGUCUGACAUGCAGACUGCAGGAAUUAGAUUUCCCUUUAAAGAGGGGACGCUGAGACGCACACCCGGCAGAGCUGCGAUUCCACGGUGAGGGGCAACGAAACCGGAAUCGGCACCGGUCUGCUUUCAUUCUGCAAACACAUCCUAAAGGGUGUCUUGUACUGUAAAUACUAAACCAAAAAAAAAAGACCCUGGUCUGUUUGAAAGGUCAGAGAGAUGGUAGGCAGUGUCUUCCCAUUUUAGAUAAGGCCACAAUCACCCCCCAGUCAACAGAAUAGUUUCCUAUCUGUAGGACUUGGCGGACUGGAACAAUCAGUCAGAAAAGGUAAAAAAGAAAAAAAGAA